rnacentral:lncRNA from 1 species
GUUGAACUGGUUGUGAUUUGAAAAUGAUAUGGUUUUUAAUUGCAGGGGGUUUUAUGUAAAAACAAGCAGAAGUGCUGCCGAAAUUUUAAAAAAAAAUUAAAAAAAAUGAAUGAAGUCAAUUAGUAAAAUAUUAUAUGCAUUUAUGAUUUUAUCUUAAUGUGUUUGAUAUUUAUUUAAGAAUUAUUGUAAAUUAUCUGAUAUGUCCG